rnacentral:rRNA from 1 species
CAGGCCUAACACAUGCAAGUCGAACGAACCGCGACUAGGUGCUUGCACUUGGUCAAGGUGAGUGGCGAACGGGUGAGUAACACGUGGGUAACCUACCUCAUAGUGGGGGAUAACAGUCGGAAACGACUGCUAAUACCGCAUAGGACAUAGGAUCACAUGAUCCAGUGAGGAAAGGUGGCGCAAGCUAUCGCUAAGAGAUGGACCCGCGGUGCAUUAGCUAGUUGGUAGGGUAAAGGCCUACCAAGGCGAUGAUGCAUAGCCGACCUGAGAGGGUGAUCGGCCACAUUGGGACUGAGACACGGCCCAAACUCCUACGGGCGGCAGCAGUAGGGAAUCUUCCGCAAUGGACGCAAGUCUGACGGAGCAACGCCGCGUGAGUGAGGAAGGUCUUCGGAUCGUAAAGCUCUGUUGUUAGAGAAGAACAGCGCAUAGAGUAACUGUUAUGCGUGUGACGGUAUCUAACCAGAAAGCCACGGCUAACUACGUGCCAGCAGCCGCGGUAAUACGUAGGUGGCGAGCGUUGUCCGGAUUUAUUGGGCGUAAAGGGAGUGUAGGCGGUCUUUUAAGUCUGAUGUGAAAGCCCACGGCUCAACCGUGGAGGGUCAUUGGAAACUGGGAGACUUGAGUGCAGAAGAGGAGAGCGGAAUUCCAUGUGUAGCGGUGAAAUGCGUAGAUAUAUGGAGGAACACCAGUGGCGAAGGCGGCUCUCUGGUCUGUAACUGACGCUGAGGCUCGAAAGCGUGGGGAGCA